GUUGAGAGUUUGAUCAUGGCUCAGAAUGAACGCUGGCGGCAUGCCUAACACAUGCAAGUCGAACGAAGGCUCCGGCCUUAGUGGCGCACGGGUGCGUAACGCGUGGGAAUCUGCCCCUUGGUUCGGAAUAACAGCGAGAAAUUGCUGCUAAUACCGGAUGAUGACGUAAGUCCAAAGAUUUAUCGCCGAGGGAUGAGCCCGCGUAGGAUUAGCUAGUUGGUGUGGUAAAGGCGCACCAAGGCGACGAUCCUUAGCUGGUCUGAGAGGAUGAUCAGCCACACUGGGACUGAGAUACGGCCCAGACUCCUACGGGAGGCAGCAGUGGGGAAUAUUGGACAAUGGGCGAAAGCCUGAUCCAGCAAUGCCGCGUGAGUGAUGAAGGCCUUAGGGUUGUAAAGCUCUUUUACCCGGGAUGAUAAUGACAGUACCGGGAGAAUAAGCUCCGGCUAACUUCGUGCCAGCAGCCGCGGUAAUACGAGGGGAGCUAGCGUUGUUCGGAAUUACUGGGCGUAAAGCGCGCGUAGGCGGUUUUUUAAGUCAGAGGUGAAAGCCCGGGGCUCAACCCCGGAAUAGCCUUUGAAACUGGAAAACUAGAAUCUUGGAGAGGUGAGUGGAAUUCCGAGUGUAGAGGUGAAAUUCGUAGAUAUUCGGAGGAACACCAGUGGCGAAGGCGACACACUGGCUCAUUACUGACGCUGAGGCUCGAAAGCGUGGGGAGCAAACAGGAUUAGAUACCCUGGUAGUCCACGC
rnacentral:rRNA from 1 species